GGGCGUGUAGCUCAGCGGGAGAGCACUCCCUUCACACGGGAGGGGUCACAGGUUCAAUCCCUGUCACGCCCACCA
rnacentral:tRNA from 41 species